rnacentral:rRNA from 1 species
UACGGAGGGAGCUAGCGUUGUUCGGAAUUACUGGGCGUAAAGCGCGCGUAGGCGGCCUGCUAAGUCGGAUGUGAAAUCCCUCGGCUCAACCGAGGAACUGCAUCCGAUACUGGCGGGCUUGAAUCCGGGAGAGGGAUGUGGAAUUCCCGGUGUAGCGGUGGAAUGCGCAGAUAUCAGGAGGAACACCAACGGCGAAGGCAGCUCGCUGGGACGGUACUGACGCUGAGGUGCGAAAGCGUGGGGAGCAAACAGG